CCCUUAGAUGUUCUGGGCCGCACGCGUGCUACACUGAGUGGAUCAGCGGGUCAGGUUGCGCGAAAGCGUUUCCUAAUCUUUAAAUCCGCUCGUGAUGGGGAUUGACGGUUGCAAUUUUCUGUCAUGAACGAGGAAUACCUUGUAAGCGCGGGUCAUCAUCCCGCGCUGAAUACGUCCCUGCCCUUUGUACACACCGCCCGCCGCUCCUACCGAUUGAGUGGUCCGGUGAGGCUUUGGGAUCUGAGCGGAAAGAGCGUUUCGCUGUUUCUGCUCGGAAAACUCAGUCGAACCUUAUCAUUUAGAGGAAGGAGAAGUCGUAACA
rnacentral:rRNA from 1 species